rnacentral:sRNA from 1 species
ACUAAUUAGAACUACAGGGGCAGGAUCUCCUGCCCUCUCGAUUGUCGGGAAGCAUGGACAGACUAUACGUUGAGUGGUCGUUCCCCACUCAGCGCGAAAAAUGAGCUUCUCACCAAUCUUCGAGGGUAGCGCUGCUACCCUUUUUUUUCUG